AUACGGAGGAUCCGAGCGUUAUCCGGAUUUAUUGGGUUUAAAGGGUGCGCAGGCGGGAGAUUAAGUCGGCGGUGAAAUUUUGCAGCUCAAAUGUAAAAGUGCCUUCGAAACUGGGUUCCUUGAGUGGAGAUGAAGUCGGCGGGAUUUGUUGUGUAGCGGUGUAAUGCAUAGAUAUCACGAGGAACUCCGAUUGCGCAGGCAGCUUACUAAACUACUACUGACGCUCAGGCACGAAGGCGUGGGGAUCAAACAGGAUUAGAUACCCUGGUAGUCCACGCAGUAAACGAUGAUUACUAGCUGUUUGCGAUACAAUGUAAGCGGCUGAGCGAAAGCGUUAAGUAAUCCACCUGGGGAGUACGUUCGCAAGAAUGAAACUCAAAUGAAUUGGCGGGG
rnacentral:rRNA from 1 species